GUUUAGACCCUGCGCAUUAACAGAUAUCAACUUAAACAUUUAACUUUAAACAAAUACAGUAAAAACCUAUUUUAUGGUGGUCCAACCAGUCAUACAAACAUACAACAUACAACAAAGCUGUGUUUGAUCAAAUAGAGCUAACUGAUCCAGCAGUGCACGGACAGAGGCAUCAGUACAUUGAUAGCUGUAGAGACUAAUAUCUCAGUACCGGUAGGGAGGAAAGAAGAGGGACAUUCAUUUUGGGAUAGUGCCCAACUAACUCUAUUCUUUGGAUUUUAUUGUAUGUAUUGGGGCUG